GGCAAAAUGAGAGUCCGACUGUCUCUUAUAACAAAUCAAUUAAACUGAUCCCUCAGUACAAAAGCUGAGAUUCUCACAUAAGACCAGAAGACCCUGUGAAGCUUUAACUAAACUAUUAAACCUAGUAAUAACUAUGUUUCGGUUGGGGCGACCUUGGAAUAAAAAAGAACUUCCAAAUAUGAUCUUCCUCAUACAUAAGGCAAACAAGCCACAUCUUAGACCCAGAACUCUCUGAUAAAUGAACCAAGUUACUCCAGGGAUAACAGCGCUAUCUUCUUCAAGAGCCCAUAUCAAAAAGAAGGUUUACGACCUCGAUGUUGGAUCAGGACAUCCUAGCAAUGCAACCGUUACUAAGGGUUCGUUUGUUCAACGAUUAAUAGUCCUACGUGA
rnacentral:rRNA from 1 species